GUGCUUGCUUUGGCAGCACAUAUACUAAAAGUGGAACAAUACAGAGAAGAUUAGCACAGCCCCGGUGCAAGGAUGAAAUGCAAAUUUGUGAAGUGUUCCAUAUUUUU